GGUUCCCUACGGGAGGCAGCAGUAGGGAAUUUUCGUCAAUGGGCGCAAGCCUGAACGAGCAAUGCCGCGUGAACGAGGAAGGUCUUCGGAUCGUAAAGUUCUGUUGAAGGGGAAAAAGAGCGGAGAGAGGAAAUGUUUUCUGAUUGAUAUUACCCUUCGAGGAAGUCACGGCUAACUACGUGCCAGCAGCCGCGGUAAUACGGAGGAUGCGAGCGUUAUCCGGAUUUAUUGGGUUUAAAGGGUGCGCAGGCGGAAGAUCAAGUCAGCGGUAAAAUUGAGAGGCUCAACCUCUUCGAGCCGUUGCA
rnacentral:rRNA from 1 species